rfam:Caulobacter vibrioides strain T5M6 contig_10, whole genome shotgun sequence.
CACACGCGGACGUUCGGCAGCAUCGGGGAGACAUCCCGGCGUCGCCGUUCCGGUCCCGCCUCCAGAAUGGUCUGGAGCGGGGGUGUCCGCGGAGGUUCAACCGGAAAAAGGAUAAAG